rnacentral:rRNA from 1 species
GUCCUGAGUACAGUGGCGCACGGGUGAGUAACACGUGACUAAUCUACCCUCGAGCGGGGAAUAACCUAGAGGAAACCUGGGCUAAUACCGCAUAAUCCCUACGGGGCAAAGGAAGCAAUUCCACUUGAGGAGGAGGUCGCGGAGAUUAGCUAGUUGGCGGGGUAAUGGCCCACCAAGGCAGUGAUCUGUAUCCGGCCUGAGAGGGCGCACGGACACACUGGAACUGAAACACGGUCCAGACUCCUACGGGAGGCAGCAGUGGGGAAUUUUGCACAAUGGGGGAAACCCUGAUGCAGCGACGCCGCGUGAGCGAUGAACCCCUCGGGGUGUAAAGCUCUUUCGGCAGGGAAGAUUAUGACGGUACCUGCAAAAGCAGCUGCGGCUAACUACGUGCCAGCAGCCGCGGUAAUACGUAGGCAGCAAGCGUUAUUCGGAGUUACUGGGCGUAAAGGGUGCGUAGGCGGCUUUUUAAGUUUGGUGUGAGAUCUCCCGGCUCAACCGGGAGGGUGCGCCGAAUACUGAGAGGCUAGAGUGUGGGAGAGGA